UUAAUUAAAACCAAAUAGAGGUAUAUUAUUGUUAAUAAUAUCAAUGAAUUUAAAUUCUAAUUAAA
rnacentral:tRNA from 1 species